AACGACUUUUUCACGAUAUUCAAAGUGCUCUCAUUCCCUUAGUUCUGCUCGGAUCCUGUUAUAACCCGGUGUUUUCGUAAUCUAGGUGACCCAAAUAAGACGCUGGUAUACUUAGUUUGAUUUCGAAAAAAAUCAAUUUUUGGUGAAAAAAUUCGAUACGGGGGUAUACCCGAAAAAUGAAAAAUUCCAAAUUUUGAAGUUCGAUAUCGCGGCUUCUAUGGGAGCUAUCAGGAAAAUUCCCACGAUUUUGUCUUAGUUUCGUCGUUCUGAAUCCAACGAGACCAUCCGCAAAAUUGUAGCUUUUACGAUAGCCGAGAUAUGGCAUUUUUGAUGCCCAUGUUUGGCCUCAAAAACGGACGUCGAAAACGACUUUUUCAGGAUUUUCAAAGUGCUCUCAUUCCCUUAGUUCUGCUCGGAUCCUGUUAUAACCAGGUGUUUUCGUAAUCUAGGUGACCCAAAUAACACGCCGGUAUACUUAGUUUGAUUUCGAAAAAAAUCAAUUUUUGGUGAAAAAAUUCGAUACGGGGGGGUAUACCCGAAAAAUGAAAAAACCCAAACUUUGAAGGUCGAUAUCUCGGCUUCUAUGGGAGCUAUCGAGCAUAUUCCAACGGUUUUGUCUUAGUUUCGUCAUUCUGAAUCCAACGAGACCAUCCGCAAGGUCGUAGCUCUUACGAUAGCCGAGAUAUGGCAUUUUUGAUGCCCAUUUUUGGCCUCAAAAACGGACGUCGAAAACGACUUUUUCAGGAUUUUCAAAGUGCUCUCAUUCCCUUAGUUCUGCUCAAAUCCUGUUAUAACCCGGUGUUUUCGUAAUCUAGGUGACCCAAAUAACACGCUGGUAUACUUAGUUUGAUUUCAAAAAAAAUCAAUUUUUGGUGAAAAAAUUCGAUACGGGGGGUAUACCCGAAAAAUGAAAAAACCCAAACUUUGAAGGUCGAUAUCUCGGCUUCUAUGGGAGCUAUCGAGCAUAUUCCAACGGUUUUGUCUUAGUUUCGUCAUUCUGAAUCCAACGAGACCAUCCGCAAGGUCGUAGCUCUUACGAUAGCCGAGAUAUGGCAUUUUUGAUGCCCAUUUUUGGCCUCAAAAACGGACGUCGAAAACGACUUUUUCAGGAUUUUCAAAGUGCUCUCAUUCCCUUAGUUCUGCUCGGAUCCUGUUAUAACCCGGUGUUUUCGUAAUCUAGGUGACCCAAAUAACACGCUGGUAUACUUAGUUUGAUUUCGAAAAAAAUCAAUUUUUGGUGAAAAAAUUCGAUACGGGGGGGUAUACCCGAAAAAUAAAAAAAAAACCCAAACUUUGAAGGUCGAUAUCUCGGCUUCUAUGGGAGCUAUCGGGAAAAUUCCAACGGUUUUGUCUUACUUUCGUCAUUCUGAAUCCAACGAGACCAUCCGCAAGGUCGUAGCUCUUACGAUAGCCGAGAUAUGGCAUUUUUGAUGCCCAUUUUUGGCCUCAAAAACGGACGUCGAAAACGACUUUUUCAGGAUUUUCAAAGUGCUCUCAUUCCCUUAGUUCUGCUCGGAUCCUGUUAUAACCCGGUGUUUUCGUAAUCUAGGUGACCCAAAUAACACGCUGGUAUACUUAGUUUGAUUUCGAAAAAAAUCAAUUUUUGGUGAAAAAAUUCGAUACGGGGGGGUAUACCCGAAAAAUGAAAAAACCCAAACUUUGAAGGUCGAUAUCUCGGCUUCUAUGGGAGCUAUCGAGCAUAUUCCAACGGUUUUGUCUUAGUUUCGUCAUUCUGAAUCCAACGAGACCAUCCGCAAGGUCGUAGCUCUUACGAUAGCCGAGAUAUGGCAUUUUUGAUGCCCAUUUUUGGCCUCAAAAACGGACGUCGAAAACGACUUUUUCAGGAUUUUCAAAGUGCUCUCAUUCCCUUAGUUCUGCUCGGAUCCUGUUAUAACCCGGUGUUUUCGUAAUCUAGGUGACCCAAAUAACACGCUGGUAUACUUAGUUUGAUUUCGAAAAAAAUCAAUUUUUGGUGAAAAAAUUCGAUACGGGGGGGUAUACCCGAAAAAUGAAAAAACCCAAACUUUGAAGGUCGAUAUCUCGGCUUCUAUAGGAGCUAUCGGGAAAAUUCCAACGGUUUUGUCUUACUUUCGUCAUUCUGAAUCCAACGAGACCAUCCGCAAGGUCGUAGCUCUUACGAUAGCCGAGAUAUGGCAUUUUUGAUGCCCAUUUUUGGCCUCAAAAACGGACGUCGAAAACGACUUUUUCAGGAUUUUCAAAGUGCUCUCAUUCCCUUAGUUCUGCUCGGAUCCUGUUAUAACCCGGUGUUUUCGUAAUCUAGGUGACCCAAAUAACACGCUGGUAUACUUAGUUUGAUUUAAAAAAAAAUCAAUUUUUGGUGAAAAAAUUCGAUACGGGGGGGUAUACCCGAAAAAUGAAAAAACCCAAACUUUGAAGGUCGAUAUCUCGGCUUCUAUGGGAGAUAUCGAGCAUAUUCCAACGGUUUUGUCUUACUUUCGUCAUUCUGAAUCCAACGAGACCAUCCGCAAGGUCGUAGCUCUUACGAUAGCCGAGAUAUGGCAUUUUUGAUGCCCAUUUUUGGCCUCAAAAACGGACGUCGAAAACGACUUUUUCAGGAUUUUCAAAGUGCUCUCAUUCCCUUAGUUCUGCUCAAAUCCUGUUAUAACCCGGAGUUUUCGUAAUCUAGGUGACCCAAAUAACACGCUGGUAUACUUAGUUUGAUUUCGAAAAAAAUCAAUUUUUGGUGAAAAAAUUCGAUACGGGGGGGUAUACCCGAAAAAUGAAAAAACCCAAACUUUGAAGGUCGAUAUCUCGGCUUCUAUGGGAGCUAUCGAGCAUAUUCCAACGGUUUUGUCUUAGUUUCGUCAUUCUGAAUCCAACGAGACCAUCCGCAAGGUCGUAGCUCUUACGAUAGCCGAGAUAUGGCAUUUUUGAUGCCCAUUUUUGGCCUCAAAAACGGACGUCGAAAACGACUUUUUCAGGAUUUUCAAAGUGCUCUCAUUCCCUUAGUUCUGCUCAAAUCCUGUUAUAACCCGGAGUUUUCGUAAUCUAGGUGACCCAAAUAACACGCUGGUAUACUUAGUUUGAUUUCGAAAAAAAUCAAUUUUUGGUGAAAAAAUUCGAUACGGGGGGGUAUACCCGAAAAAUGAAAAAACCCAAACUUUGAAGGUCGAUAUCUCGGCUUCUAUGGGAGCUAUCGAGCAUAUUCCAACGGUUUUGUCUUAGUUUCGUCAUUCUGAAUCCAACGAGACCAUCCGCAAGGUCGUAGCUCUUACGAUAGCCGAGAUAUGGCAUUUUUGAUGCCCAUUUUUGGCCUCAAAAACGGACGUCGAAAACGACUUUUUCAGGAUUUUCAAAGUGCUCUCAUUCCCUUAGUUCUGCUCAAAUCCUGUUAUAACCCGGAGUUUUCGUAAUCCAGGUGACCCAUAUAACACGCUGGUAUACUUAGUUUGAUUUCGAAAAAAAUCAAUUUUUGGUGAAAAAAUUCGAUACGGGGGGGUAUACCCGAAAAAUUGAUUUGAAGGUCGAUAUCUCGGCUUCUAUGGGAGCUAUCGGGAAAAUUCCAACGGUUUUGUCUUACUUUCGUCAUUCUGAAUCCAACGAGACCAUCCGCAAGGUCGUAGCUCUUACGAUAGCCGAGAUAUGGCAUUUUUGAUGCCCAUUUUUGGCCUCAAAAACGGACGUCGAAAACGACUUUUUCAGGAUUUUCAAAGUGCUCUCAUUCCCUUAGUUCUGCUCGGAUCCUGUUAUAACCCGGUGUUUUCGUAAUCUAGGUGACCUAAAUAACACGCUGGUAUACUUAGUUUGAUUUAAAAAAAAAUCAAUUUUUGGUGAAAAAAUUCGAUACGGGGGGGUAUACCCGAAAAAUGAAAAAACCCAAACUUUGAAGGUCGAUAUCUCGGCUUCUAUGGGAGAUAUCGAGCAUAUUCCAACGGUUUUGUCUUACUUUCGUCAUUCUGAAUCCAACGAGACUAUCCGCAAGGUCGUAGCUCUUACGAUAGCCGAGAUAUGGCAUUUUUGAUGCCCAUUUUUGGCCUCAAAAACGGACGUCGAAAACGACUUUUUCAGGAUUUUCAAAGUGCUCUCAUUCCCUUAGUUCUGCUCAAAUCCUGUUAUAACCCGGAGUUUUCGUAAUCUAGGUGACCCAAAUAACACGCUGGUAUACUUAGUUUGAUUUCGAAAAAAAUCAAUUUUUGGUGAAAAAAUUCGAUACGGGGGGGUAUACCCGAAAAAUGAAAAAACCCAAACUUUGAAGGUCGAUAUCUCGGCUUCUAUGGGAGCUAUCGAGCAUAUUCCAACGGUUUUGUCUUAGUUUCGUCAUUCUGAAUCCAACGAGACCAUCCGCAAGGUCGUAGCUCUUACGAUAGCCGAGAUAUGGCAUUUUUGAUGCCCAUUUUUGGCCUCAAAAACGGACGUCGAAAACGACUUUUUCAGGAUUUUCAAAGUGCUCUCAUUCCCUUAGUUCUGCUCAAAUCCUGUUAUAACCCGGAGUUUUCGUAAUCCAGGUGACCCAUAUAACACGCUGGUAUACUUAGUUUGAUUUCGAAAAAAAUCAAUUUUUGGUGAAAAAAUUCGAUACGGGGGGGUAUACCCGAAAAAUAAAAAAACCCAAACUUUGAAGGUCGAUAUCUCGGCUUCUAUGGGAGCUAUCGGGAAAAUUCCAACGGUUUUGUCUUACUUUCGUCAUUCUGAAUCCAACGAGACCAUCCGCAAGGUCGUAGCUCUUACGAUAGCCGAGAUAUGGCAUUUUUGAUGCCCAUUUUUGGCCUCAAAAACGGACGUCGAAAACGACUUUUUCAGGAUUUUCAAAGUGCUCUCAUUCCCUUAGUUCUGCUCGGAUCCUGUUAUAACCCGGUGUUUUCGUAAUCUAGGUGACCCAUAUAACACGCUGGUAUACUUAGUUUGAUUUCGAAAAAAAUCAAUUUUUGGUGAAAAAAUUCGAUCCCCCCCGUAUCGAAAAAUGAAAAAACCCAAACUUUGAAGGUCGAUAUCUCGGCUUCUAUGGGAGCUAUCGGGAAAAUUCCAACGGUUUUGUCUUACUUUCGUCAUUCUGAAUCCAACGAGACCAUCCGCAAGGUCGUAGCUCUUACGAUAGCCGAGAUAUGGCAUUUUUGAUGCCCAUUUUUGGCCUCAAAAACGGACGUCGAAAACGACUUUUUCAGGAUUUUCAAAGUGCUCUCAUUCCCUUAGUUCUGCUCGGAUCCUGUUAUAACCCGGUGUUUUCGUAAUCUAGGUGACCCAAAUAACACGCUGGUAUACUUAGUUUGAUUUCGAAAAAAAUCAAUUUUUGGUGAAAAAAUUCGAUACGGGGGGGUAUACCCGAAAAAUGAAAAAACCCAAACUUUGAAGGUCGAUAUCUCGGCUUCUAUGGGAGCUAUCGAGCAUAUUCCAACGGUUUUGUCUUAGUUUCGUCAUUCUGAAUCCAACGAGACCAUCCGCAAGGUCGUAGCUCUUACGAUAGCCGAGAUAUGGCAUUUUUGAUGCCCAUUUUUGGCCUCAAAAACGGACGUCGAAUACGACUUUUUCAGGAUUUUCAAAGUGCUCUCAUUCCCUUAGUUCUGCUCGGAUCCUGUUAUAACCCGGUGUUUUUGUAAUCUAGGUGACCCAAAUAACACGCCGGUAUACUUAGUUUGAUUUCGAAAAAAAUCAAUUUUUGGUGAAAAAAUUCGAUACGGGGGGGUAUACCCGAAAAAUGAAAAAUUCGAAACUUUGAAGAUCAAUAUCGCGGCUUCUAUGGGAGCUAUCGGGAAAAUUCCGACGGUUUUGUCUUAGUUUCGUCGUUCUGAAUCCCACGAGACCAUCCGCAAAGUCGUAGCUUUUACGAUAGCCGAGAUAUGGCAUUUUUGAUGCCAAUUUUUGGCCUCAAAAACGGAUGUCGAAAACGACUUUUUCACGAUUUUCAAAGUGCUCUCAAUUCCUUAGUUCUGCUCGGAUCCUGUUAUAACCCGGUGUUUUCGUAAUCUAGGUGACCCAAAUAAGACGCUGGUAUACUUAGUUUGAUUUCGAAAAAAAUCAAUUUUUGGUGAAAAAAUUCGAUACGGGGGGGUAUACCCGAAAAAUGAAAAAUUCCAAACUUUGAAGGUCGUUAUCUCGGCUUCUAUGGGAGCUAUCGGGAAAAUUCCGACGGUUUUGUCUUAGUUUCGUCGUUCUGAAACAUAUGAAAAAAUAAUAAACAAGAGACUUUGGAGCGAGAUAAUUAACAAAAAAAAUGGCAUGCACCCAAACCAAUACGGUUUCAUUAAAGGGAAUUCAACCACGCACGCAAUGAGAAGAGUUAUAGAACUAGCUACGAAAAGACCCGGCAGACACAACGUGCUCAUCUUAAUAGACGUCAAGAAUGCUUUCAAUUGUGCCUCGUGGAAACUCAUUAUAAAAGAACUGCAUAACUGGGAAAUAAGUCCAUACCUAAUAAAUAUAUUAAUCAGCUAUCUUAAUAACAGACGGAUAACCCUGUCUAGAGAGGAUGAAAGGGAGGUAUUCGUAGGGGUACCACAGGGAUCGGUUCUGGGUCCGACUCUAUGGAACGUGCUGUAUGACAGUGUCAUGGAGCUACCGGUCCCCGAGGGAACUGAGCUGGUAUGCUACGCAGAUGACCUUGCGGUGAUCUGCACACAAGAAAACGAAUACGACCUGAUGAAGGCAGCGGAUAUUACGCUAGAUCUUAUUGAAAGUUGGAUGUACAGGCACGACCUUACGGUGGCAACAGAAAAGACCGAGGCAAUUCUAUUAAGCUGCAAAAAAAAAGUUAGCCACAUCAAGUUCUAUUUUGGGGGCACAUAAAUCACUCCCAAAAAAGAAGUGAAAUACCUAGGUUUCCACAUAGAUCGUCCCCUUUUCAUGAAUCGGCACAUAAAAAACGUCUGCCUAAAGGCUCAUCGCACAACAAAAGCUCUGCAAGCAAUCCUACCAAAUAUUGGAGGUCCCUCCUCCUCAAAAAGGAAGGCGAUGGCUUAUGCCUGCGAAAAUACUAUAAUGUAUGGGGCGCCAGCGUGGAGCUCUGCAAUGGCUGUAACGAACAAUAAAAAAAACUACAAAGCUCACAAAGGAUAAUGGUUCUGAUGGUAUAGUCUGCGUACAGAACGGUCUCAACGGAAGCCCUGUUGGUCAUAUCAGGACUGAUACCGUUGCACAUACUGGCAGAAGAAAGAACCCUUCUAUUUCUAAAUAAUGCAAUCACAAAUACUUCAAGGAAAGAAGAAAGGGAGAGAUCAAUGGAAAGAUGGCAGGAAAAAUGGCAAGCAUCUGAGCGGGGACGCUGGACCUACAAACUAAUUCCGGAUUUGAAAACAUGGGUAAAAAGAAGAGAUGGGCAGCUAAGUCACUACCUGACACAAAUGAUUACUGGACAUGGAAGUUUCGGGAGCUAUCUUCAUGAAAUAAAAAAAAAAGAAUACCCAUCAUGCAACUACUGUGAGCACCCAAAUGACACAGCAGAACACACAAUGUUUUGGUGCCCUAGAUGGGAGAAUAAUAGAAAUGCCCUGAACGCAUUUGUGGGGGUAAAUGUAACUGCUAAUAAUUUCUUACAAAUUGCCACCAAGAACAAAAAGAACUACUAUGCAAUAGAUAAAAUGGCGACGGAUAUCCUAUCCCAGAAAUACAGGGAGGAACAACGAUAAUAAAUUAAAGGAAAAAGAAAAAAAAUAGAGGGACAUAUCCGGCAUCUACCUGAGGAAAUGCGUUCUGCGGGUCCGGGAAGCUGUGGCAGGAAAAAGAGGAAAGGAAUGGGUUGGGUUGGGUUGGGUUGGGUUGGCAGAGGCACAGGCUGGAGCUUCAACUGGGCGAAACUCCCACGCCCGAGAAUAUAAUUGCGCUAAUGACGAGCGACGAAGGCAAAUGGCGACACAUACACAACUACAUAAAGGAGAUUAUGAAGCAAAAAGAAGAAGAAGAAAGGAUAUAUGCACAAGAAGCCAGAAACCAAGAUAGUGAAUAGAAUCACGACACGGCAUUGGUGGUGAUGCAUGCGUUCCAUUGUGAUCCCGCCCCCGAUGCUAGCAGCAGUCAACAGUCGGUUUUUAGUGGGUAGGACCAGUUUGGAGGAGUCUCACACUCACUGCAGUAGUGCAACUGCAGUGGUGAGUGCGUAAAUGCAUUUUCCGACUAUAAACAAAAAAAAAAAGGGUUGGGUUUGGUUUCUAGAGGAUCUCCAACUACAAUCUCCGUUUUAACAAAUACAUCUUUCCCCCAUUUUUUGAGAGAUAGUUCCUUAAAAUUCUCAUAGGAUCUAACUUUCUCGAUUUCCUUUUUGUUAAUUUCUUCUACCAUUCCAAUCUCGACGCGACGCCAUACACAUAAGAGACAUGGAUAUAAGCACCACGGAAGAAGAAGUAAUUAUGGCAAUAAAGGAUAUAUUGGGUGAAGAGCAUGCGAAUAACUCCAGGGUGGGCCGACUCCGACCUACUGCAGAGCCAGGAUAUGGGCAAUGAAAGCCAAUCGUGAGGACCUAUUGGAAAAACUUUCGGACUUAUAUAAAAGCUAUCGGUUAUGCGAAAAUCAUUUUGGAGAAAAUAUGUUUACAAGUCACCUUCAUACUGGAUUGAUAGCUACUGCAACGCCAACUCUAUUUCCGUUUAUUGAAGGCAGUUCUAAAACUGCAGUACAUGAUCAUUCCUAUAGUGCACCUCCCUUUUUUAAAUUUUAAAUAUUUCUAUAUUAGUUAAGGUUAUUGUUUUCUUAAAAAAGAUAGAGACAUCUGUAAAGAUCUUUAGGCAUGAUUUAAAAUAGGCAAUAAAAUGUGUUAAAACUCUAAA